AGCAGCCGCGGUAAUUCCAGCUCCAAUAGCGUAUAUUAAAGUUGUUGCAGUUAAAAGCUCGUAGUUGAAUUUCGGGGUUAGUAGGUUGGUCAUGCCUCUGGUAUGUACUGGUCUCACUGAUUCCUCCUUCCUGAUGAAUCUUAAUGCCAUUAAUUUGGUGUUUUGGGGAAUUUGGACUGUUACUUUGAAAAAUUAGAGUGUUUAAAGCAGGCAUCCGUCUGAAUACAUUAGCAUGGAAUAAUAAAAUAGGACGGUUUGGUUCUAUUUUGUUGGUUUCUAGGAUAACCGUAAUGAUUAAUAGGGAUAGUUGGGGGCAUUAGUAUUCAAUUGUCAGAGGUGAAAUUCUUGGAUUUAUUGAAGACUAACUACUGCGAAAGCAUUUGCCAAGGAUGUUUUCAUUAAUCAAGAACGAAAGUUAGGGGAUCGAAGACGAUCAGAUACCGUCGUAGUCUUAACCAUAAACUAUGCCGACUAGGGAUCGGACGAAGUUAAUUUUUAAUGACUCGUUCGGCACCUUACG
rnacentral:rRNA from 1 species